UCCGGUAUGGUGUAGCUGGCUAACACGCUACCAGUACAAUUACCCCAGAGCCUGGGAGUGCGACGGUAGAGACCCGGGUUCGAAUCCCGUGUACCGGAA
rnacentral:tRNA from 1 species